rnacentral:rRNA from 1 species
GAUGAACGCUAGCGACAGGCUUAACACAUGCAGGUCGAGGGGCAGCAUGAGGUAGCAAUACCUUGAUGGCGACCGGCGCACGGGUGAGUAACGCGUAUGCAACCUGCCCGAUACCGGGGUAUAGCCCAUGGAAACGUGGAUUAACACCCCAUAGUACUUUUAUCCUGCCUGGGAUGGGAGUUAAAUGUUCAAGGUAUCGGAUGGGCAUGCGUCCUAUUAGUUAGUUGGCGGGGUAACAGCCAACCAAUACGAUGAUAGGUAGGGGUUCUGAGAGGAAGGUCCCCCACAUUGGAACUGAGACACGGUCCAAACUCCUACGGGAGGCAGCAGUGAGGAAUAUUGGUCAAUGGACGAGAGUCUGAACCAGCCAAGUCGCGUGAGGGAAGACUGCCCUAUGGGUUGUAAACCUCUUUUAUAAGGGAAGAAUAAGUUCUACGUGUAGAAUGAUGCCUGUACCUUAUGAAUAAGCAUCGGCUAACUCCGUGCCAGCCGCCGCAGUAA